rnacentral:rRNA from 1 species
UCUGUAGGCGGAUCUGUAAGUCAGUGGUGAAAUCUCAUAGCUUAACUAUGAAACUGCCAUUGAUACUGCAGGUCUUGAGUAAGGUAGAAGUAGCUGGAAUAAGUAGUGUAGCGGUGAAAUGCAUAGAUAUUACUUAGAACACCAAUUGCGAAGGCAGGUUACUAUGCCUUAACUGACGCUGAUGGACGAAAGCGUGGGGAGCGAACAGGAUUAGAUACCCUGGUAGUCC